GAAAAUAUACAUCUUUAAAAACUUCACUAAAUGUAUGCCCUCAAAAUGGCCUUUUAUUCUCAGUUAGCAGACAUUUUCUUCCAAAAGAAAGAAAAACAUUUAUGACCAGCUCUCCUGAAGGCCAGGAUUCAUUCACUUCUUUACUCAUUUCAUAAAUAUUUAUGGAAUUUCUACUGUGUUCUUAAUGUUAUGAACAGGACUAAGGUUACAGUGGGUAACAAAAGGACAGCACCCCUGCUCCAAAGGAGGUAACUUGGAACCAGUGUGAUAAUACCUGAGAGCAUCUCAAAUUAUUCAGAGCAAUGCCAGGAAUCAGAAAUCCAAAGAUGAAUGAAACUCACGUCCUGCCAUGAUUGUUAACAGUAGUGCACAUAUACAGAUACGUAAAGAAGUAAUUACUUAAAAAUAAAAGCUUUGAGCCAUAAUCGCAAGAUCAUGAGGGAAGACAAGCAGUAUAAAGAUGGAGGAAGAGGAAAGGCUCAUUCAGGUGUGGAGAUUCCAUAAUGCAACUCAGAAUGGAAAUCUGGCAAAGUGCUUACCGAAGAUGUUGACACCAAGAAAAACAAACCUGUUAUCACAAAUGCUGCCUAUUUGCAAGAAGAUGUAUUUCUUCACAGAUGAUAUCAUGAGAUUUAUAUUUAUAUGUAUGUUUUGCAAUGACAUUAAAAUUUUCAACUU